rnacentral:rRNA from 1 species
UACCAGCACCCCGAGUGGUCGGGACGUUUAUUGGGCCUAAAGCAUCCGUAGCCGGUUCUACAAGUCUUCCGUUAAAUCCACCUGCUUAACAGAUGGGCUGCGGAAGAUACUAUGGAGCUAGGAGGCGGGAGAGGCAAGCGGUACUCGAUGGGUAGGGGUAAAAUCCGUUGAUCCAUUGAAGACCACCAGUGGCGAAGGCGGCUUGCCAGAAUGCGCUCGACGGUGAGGGAUGAGAGCUGGGGGAGCAAACCGG